UACGAAGGGGGCUAGCGUUGUUCGGAAUUACUGGGCGUAAAGCGCGCGUAGGCGGAUAUUUAAGUCAGGGGUGAAAUCCCGGGGCUCAACCCUGGAACUGCCUUGAUACUGGAUAUCUGGAGUUCGGGAGAGGUGAGUGGAAUUCCGAGUGUAGAGGUGAAAUUCGUAGAUAUUCGGAGGAACACCGGUGGCGAAGGCGGCUGCCUGGCCUAGAACUGACGCUGAUACGCGAAAGCGUGGGGAGCGAUCCGG
rnacentral:rRNA from 1 species